GCAGAAUAAGCACCGGCUAACUCUGUGCCAGCAGCCGCGGUAAUACAGAGGGUGCAAGCGUUAAUCGGAAUUACUGGGCGUAAAGCGCGCGUAGGCGGUUUGUUAAGUCGGAUGUGAAAUCCCCGGGCUCAACCUGGGCACUGCAUCCGAUACUGGCUGACUAGAGUGUGGGAGAGGAAGGUAGAAUUCCAGGUGUAGCGGUGAAAUGCGUAGAGAUCUGGAGGAAUACCGAUGGCGAAGGCAGCCUUCUGGCCUGACACUGACGCUGAGGUGCGAAAGCAUGGGGAGCAACAGGAUUAGAUACCCUGGUAGUCCAUGCCGUAAACGAUGUCAACUAGCCGUUGGGGGACCUUGAGUCUUUAGUGGCGCAGCUAACGCGAUAAGUUGACCGCCUGGGGAGUACGGCCGCAAGG
rnacentral:rRNA from 1 species